rnacentral:rRNA from 1 species
CCUACGGGUGGCAGCAGUGAGGAAUAUUGGUCAAUGGGCGAGAGCCUGAACCAGCCAAGUCGCGUGAAGGAUGACGGCCCUACGGGUUGUAAACUUCUUUUGUCAGGGAGCAAUUGAGUCCACGUGUGGUCUUAGCGAGAGUACCUGACGAAUAAGCCACGGCUAACUACGUGCCAGCAGCCGCGGUAAUACGUAGGUGGCAAGCGUUAUCCGGAUUUAUUGGGUGUAAAGGGCGUGUAGGCGGGAAUGCAAGUCAGAUGUGAAAACUAUGGGCUCAACCCAUAGCCUGCAUUUGAAACUGUAUUUCUUGAGUGCUGGAGAGGCAAUCGGAAUUCCGUGUGUAGCGGUGAAAUGCGUAGAUAUACGGAGGAACACCAGUGGCGAAGGCGGAUUGCUGGACAGUAACUGACGCUGAGGCGCGAAAGCGUGGGGAGCAAACAGGAUUAGAUACCCGGGUAGUC